GGAGAUGUGGCUCUGUGGUAGAGUGUCUGCAUGGCAUGCACAAGGUCCUGGGUUCCAACCCCAUCACCA
rfam:Ictidomys tridecemlineatus contig071687, whole genome shotgun sequence.